rnacentral:rRNA from 1 species
ACACAUGCAAGUCGAACGGAACUGUUUUGAAAGAUUUCUUCGGAAUGAAUUUGAUUUAGUUUAGUGGCGGACGGGUGAGUAACGCGUGAGUAACCUGCCUUCAAGAGGGGGAUAACAUUCUGAAAAGAAUGCUAAUACCGCAUGACAUAUCGGAACCACAUGGUUUUGAUAUCAAAGAUUUUAUCGCUUGAAGAUGGACUCGCGUCCGAUUAGUUAGUUGGUGAGGUAACGGCUCACCAAGACCGCGAUCGGUAGCCGGACUGAGAGGUUGAACGGCCACAUUGGGACUGAGACACGGCCCAGACUCCUACGGGAGGCAGCAGUGGGGGAUAUUGCGCAAUGGGGGCAACCCUGACGCAGCAACGCCGCGUGAAGGAUGAAGGUUUUCGGAUUGUAAACUUCUUUUACUAAGGACGAAAAUUGACGGUACUUAAUGAAUAAGCUCCGGCUAACUACGUGCCAGCAGCCGCGGUAAUACGUAGGGAGCAAGCGUUGUCCGGAUUUACUGGGUGUAAAGGGUGCGUAGGCGGCUUUGCAAGUCAGAUGUGAAAUCUAUGGGCUCAACCCAUAAACUGCAUUUGAAACUGUAGAGCUUGAGUGAAGUAGAGGCAGGCGGAAUUCCCCGUGUAGCGGUGAAAUGCGUAGAGAUGGGGAGGAACACCAGUGGCGAAGGCGGCCUGCUGGGCUUUAACUGACGCUGAGGCACGAAAGCGUGGGUAGCAAACAGGAUUAGAUACCCUGGUAGUCCACGCUGUAAACGAUGAUUGCUAGGUGUGGGGGGUCUGACCCCUUCCGUGCCGGAGUUAACACAAUAAGUAAUCCACCUGGGGAGUACGGC